UGUGGUGCUACUCAUGAGUCUGGAAUUCAUGCUCUUAGAGACUUAGAGCAAUCUAGAAGAGUGUGGAAUUUACUUCAUUUUUCCGGUCAUCAACAAUUUUAAUCCUUGGAUUUAUAUGAUUGGCUAAGAUUUUUUAGCAAGGACAUCAAUGGCUCCAUGUUUUUUGUGGCUUGUUGGAGCAUUUGGAAGGCCAGGAAUGAGGAAAUUUUUACUUAUACUAGAUGUAAUGAUUAGUUGCUACUCAACCAUAUUCAUUCCUUGUAUGAUUUGAUUCUUCACUCAUUUGGUAAAGCAG
rnacentral:lncRNA from 1 species